GUGGGGAAUAUUGCACAAUGGGCGAAAGCCUGAUGCAGCAACGCCGCGUGAGGGACGACGGCCUUCGGGUUGUAAACCUCUUUUAGUAGGGAAGAAGCGAAAGUGACGGUACCUGCAGAAAAAGCACCGGCUAACUACGUGCCAGCAGCCGCGGUAAUACGUAGGGCGCAAGCGUUAUCCGGAAUUAUUGGGCGUAAAGAGCUCGUAGGCGGUUUGUCGCGUCUGCUGUGAAAACCCGAGGCUCAACCUCGGGCCUGCAGUGGGUACGGGCAGACUAGAGUGCGGUAGGGGAGAUUGGAAUUCCUGGUGUAGCGGUGGAAUGCGCAGAUAUCAGGAGGAACACCGAUGGCGAAGGCAGAUCUCUGGGCCGUAACUGACGCUGAGGAGCGAAAGGGUGGGGAGCAAACAGGCUUAGAAACCCCUGUAGUCC
rnacentral:rRNA from 1 species